UCUAAGCAGACUGCCGUGGAGUAACACGGAGGAAGGUGGGGACGACGUCAAAUCAUCAUGCCCCUUAUGACCUGGGCUACACACGUGCUACAAUGGUCUGAACAGAGGGCUGCGAAACCGCGAGGUGAAGCUAAUCCCUUAAAACAGAUCUCAGUUCGGAUUGCAGGCUGCAACUCGCCUGCAUGAAGUUGGAGUUGCUAGUAAUCGCAGAUCAGAAUGCUGCGGUGAAUGCGUUCCCGGGUCUU
rnacentral:rRNA from 1 species